UACGUAGGGGGCAAGCGUUAUCCGGAUUUACUGGGUGUAAAGGGAGCGUAGACGGCAUGGCAAGCCAGAUGUGAAAUACCGGGGCUCAACCCCGGGACUGCAUUUGGAACUGUUAAGCUGGAGUGUCGGAGAGGCAGGCGGAAUUCCUAGUGUAGCGGUGAAAUGCGUAGAUAUUAGGAGGAACACCAGUGGCGUAGGCGGCCUGCUGGACGAUAACUGACGUUGAGGCUCGAAAGCGUGGGGAGCAAACAGG
rnacentral:rRNA from 1 species